rnacentral:rRNA from 1 species
UACGGCGGUAAUUCUGGAGCUAAUACAUGCGCACAAGCCCCGACUUACGCCAGGGCGUUUUAUUAGAUCAAAACCAAACGGCCUUGAGCCGUCCCCCUGGGUGAUUCGUGAAUAACUUUGGGCCGAUCGCAUGGCCUCGAGCCGGCGACAUAUCCUUCCAAGGUGUGCCCUAUCAACUGUCGACUGUGGCAUAGACGCCCACAGUGGUUUUGACGGGUAACGGGGAAUUAGGGUUCGAUUCCGGAGAGGGAGCCUGAGAAACGGCUACCACUUCUACGGAAGGCAGCAGGCACGCAAAUUACCCACUGGUCGAAGACCGAGGUAGUGACAAAAAAUAACGAUACCGGACUCAUCCGAGGCCCGGUAAUCAGAAUGAGUACACUUUAAAUCCUUUAACGAGGAACAAUUGGAGGGCAAGUCUGGUGCCAGCAGCCGCGGUAAUUCCAGCUCCAAUAGCGUAUAUUAAAGUUGUUGCGGUUAAAAAGCUCGUAGUUGGAUCUCGGCAGGCAGGGGGCGGUUCGCUCUUCAGUGUUACUGCCCCAUUUGCCUGUGUGAUUGACGGAUGUUUCGGGGUGCCCUUAAGUGAGUGUCCCGGAGCGCCGUCAGGCUUUACUUUGAAAAAAUUAGAGUGCUCAAAGCAGGCUUAAUACGCUUGAAUAUUCGUGCAUGGAAUAAUGGAAUACGAACUCGUUUCCAUUUUGUUGGGUUUUCGGAAAAUCGAGUUAAUGAUUAAUAGGGGACAAUUGGGGGGCAUUAGUAUUCAGACGACAGAGGGUGAAAUUCUUGGACCGUCUGAAGACUCACUACUGCGAAAGCAUUUGCCAAGAGUGUUUUUCAUUAAUCAAGAACGAAAGUUAGAGGUUCGAAGGCGAUCAGAUACCGCCCUAGUUCUAACCAUAAACGAUGCCAGCUAGCGAUCCGCUGAGUUUUAUUUGUAGGCUCUGCGGGAAGCUUUCGGGAAACCAAAGCUUUUGGGUUCCGGGGGAAGUAUGGUUGCAAAGCUGAAACUUAAAGGAAUUGACGGAAGGGCACCACCAGGAGUGGAGCCUGCGGCUUAAUUUGACUCAACACGGGAAAUCUCACCAGGCCCGGACACUGGAAGGAUUGACAGAUUGAGAGCUCUUUCUCGAUUCGGUGGGUGGUGGUGCAUGGCCGUUCUUAGUUGGUGGAGUGAUUUGUCUGGUUAAUUCCGAUAACGAACGAGACUCUGUCCUGCUAAAUAGUUGGCAUGUCCUUUUGUGCGUGCCAAAUUCUUCUUAGAGGGACUGGCUGCGUCUAGCAGCACGAGAUUGAGCAAUAACAGGUCUGUGAUGCCCUUAGAUGUUCUGGGCCGCACGCGCGCUACACUGAAGAGAUCAGCACGUUUUCCCUUUCCGAGAGGAACGGGUAACCUGCUUAACCCUCUUCGUGGUAGGGAUCGGAGCUUGCAAUUGUUCUCCGUGAACCAGGAAUUCCCAGUAAGUGCAGGUCAUUAGCCUGCGUUGAUUACGUCCCUGCCCUUUGUACACACCGCCCGUCGCUACUACCGAUUNAACGUUUUAGUGAGGUAUUUGGACUGAGCCUUACGGAGGCUUUUAGCCUUCGA